rnacentral:rRNA from 1 species
GACGAACGCUGGCGGCGUGCCUAAUACAUGCAAGUCGAACGGGUGGCGGACGGGUGAGUAAUAUAUCGGAAUGUGCCCAGUAACGGGGGAUAAGUAAUCGAAAGAGUGGCCAAUAGCGCAUACUACUGGUGCGGCCGAUGUCGGAUUAGCUAGUUUGUGGGGUAAAGGUUUACCAAGGCAACGAUCCGUAGCGGGUUUGAGAGGACGACCAGCCACACUGGGACUGAGACACGGCCCAGACUCCUACGGGAGGCAGCAGUGGGGAAUUUUGGACAAUGGGGGAAACCCUGAUCCAGCCAUCCCGCGUGUAUGAGAAGGCCUUCGGGUUGUAAAGUACUUUUGGCAGAGAAGCGGUAUCUAACCAGAAAGCCCCGGCUAACUACGUGCCAGCAGCCGCGGUAAUAC